rnacentral:rRNA from 1 species
GACGAACGCUGGCGGCGUGCUUAACACAUGCAAGUCGAACGGAAAGGCCCUGCUUGCAGGGUACUCGAGUGGCGAACGGGUGAGUAACACGUGGGUGAUCUGCCCUGCACUUCGGGAUAAGCCUGGGAAACUGGGUCUAAUACCGGAUAGGAGCCAUUUUUAGUGUGAUGGUUGGAAAGUUUUUUCGGUGUAGGAUGAGCUCGCGGCCUAUCAGCUUGUUGGUGGGGUAAUGGCCUACCAAGGCGGCGACGGGUAGCCGGCCUGAGAGGGUGGACGGCCACAUUGGGACUGAGAUACGGCCCAGACUCCUACUGGAGGCAGCAGUGGGGAAUAUUGCACAAUGGGCGCAAGCCUGAUGCAGCGACGCCGCGUGGGGGAUGACGGCCUUCGGGUUGUAAACUCCUUUCGCUAGGGACGAAGCUUUUUGUGACGGUACCUAGAUAAGAAGCACCGGCUAACUACGUG